rnacentral:lncRNA from 1 species
AUUUGAAUUCUUCGAACCCCAACAAUUCCGCCCAUAAACCUCCAUGAAUGACGAAACCUACCAGAGUAUCGUUACCCGCCGUUGAUUCUCUCAUACCUCAACCGCAUUUUCCUUAACCGGUUCGUUUCCUCUCUUUUCCUUUUAAUCAGUAGUUUUGAUUAUUGCUGUUGCCUCAUGUUACUGUCGGAAGCAGCCUAGGGUUUUACUUCAUCUAAUUUGCUACUAAGUUUUGUUUUUUCUUUUGUUCGAUAAUGUUUUCUUUGCCCUAUGUAGCAUUUGAUAUAACUGUAAUGGUGGAACAAAAACGAUAAAGAAUGGGCGGAAUAGUAGUGUUCUUGAUAAUGGAAAUGUUAGGAUUUAUGUUGCUAAUUGAGGCGGGUUUAUGGUAGUGUUGAUAGUUGGAAAUUUUUGUCGUGGGUACUAAUUUGAAUAGGGUUUAUGGCAGUGGUUGAUCAUUGGGAAGGUUCUUUUACUCCCGUGCUAUUUGAAGAGGGUUUUGCUGUAAUUAAGAUUCUGUUAUUGUAAUGCUAAGUUGUAGAAUUGAGCAAGAACGUGGGUUGAAAACGUUGAGGUUUGAGAAAGAACUCAUUUUGCUGUUGGCACCGUGUUCUUGCAUCACUGAAAUGAAGUGAGAUGGUUUGGGGUUUGAUGUACAGCAUUCAAGAUUAAGCUAGCAUUUACUACAGAAAAAUGGUUAGAUUAGGAUCAUAUGCUCAAGAAAAAUGAUUAGCCGUUUUUCAAUUUUAUUUAAAAAAGAUCAUUUAGUUUACCCAAUUUUAGCAAUUAAAUGCAGUAUUUAUAGCGAUUCUAGCAUAACUCUACAUCUUUAAAAGAUUUUUUCUUUGCCUUUUUUUUUGGAAAAUGUUUUAAUUAGUUUAUUUAUUUAUUAAAAAAAAAAAUCCAUGAGAACACCUUAUAUGGGAAAACAGGAUCAUUUCCCUUGAUCUAAUGUACUGGAGAUGUCCAUUUUUUUAGUCCAAACAAAACCUUCGAUCGCGUAGCUUACUUAGAUUGUGCCCGCCUUGGCAAGGAUGUCAAAAUCCCUAAACUAGGAAUUUUUUGGAAUUCAAAUCUCUACAUUCUACUCUUCACUUGGCCUGGAACAUCAGUCAUAUCAUUAACUCUCUUUCUCUCUUCUAAUUCACUUUGGAGUUUUAUUUCUUUAAUUGCUUAUUUAUUUUUUGUUCUAUGAUUUUUUUUUUGGCCUAAAUAGCAUUCUUAGUAAUUGUUCUAAUUGAACAAAAAACAAGACUAACAAAUAAAAUUCUUGAGAUUUGAUAUAGAUCAUUGGAGGUUUAUCACAUAAAAUUCAUGAAUGACGAAACCUACCAAAGUAUCGUUACCCGCCGUUGAUUCUCUCAUACCUCAACCGCAUUUUCCUUAACCGGUUCGUUUCCUCUCUUUUCCAUUUAAUCAGUAGUUUUGAUUAUUGCUUUUGCCUCAUGUUACUGUCGGAAGCAGCCUAGGGUUUUACUUCAUCUAAUUUGCUACUAAGUUUUGUUUUUUCUUUUGUUCGAUAAUGUUUUCUUUGCCCUAUGUAGCAUUUGAUAUAACUGUAAUGGUGGAACAAUACAGCAAUUCUGUGUC